rnacentral:rRNA from 1 species
GAUGAACGCUGGCGGCGUGCCUAAUACAUGCAAGUCGAGCGAACAGACGAGGAGCUUGCUCCUCUGACGUUAGCGGCGGACGGGUGAGUAACACGUGGAUAACCUACCUAUAAGACUGGGAUAACUUCGGGAAACCGGAGCUAAUACCGGAUAAUAUAUUGAACCGCAUGGUUCAAUAGUGAAAGACGGUUUUGCUGUCACUUAUAGAUGGAUCCGCGCCGCAUUAGCUAGUUGGUAAGGUAACGGCUUACCAAGGCGACGAUGCGUAGCCGACCUGAGAGGGUGAUCGGCCACACUGGAACGGAGACACGGUCCAGACUCCUACGGGAGGCAGCAGUAGGGAAUCUUCCGCAAUGGGCGAAAGCGUGACGGAGCAACGCCGCGUGAGUGAUGAAGGUCUUCGGAUCGUAAAACUCUGUUAUUAGGGAAGAACAAAUGUGUAAGUAACUAUGCACGUCUUGACGGUACCUAAUCAGAAAGCCACGGCUAACUACGUG